UCGGAUCAGGUAGGAAUACCCGCUGAACUUAAGCAUAUCAAUAAGCGGAGGACCU
rnacentral:rRNA from 1 species